rnacentral:rRNA from 1 species
UGCCAGCAGCCGCGGUAAUACGGAGGGUCCAAGCGCUAUCCGGAAGCAUUGGGUUUAAAGGGUGCGCAGGCGGUUUAAUAAGUCAGUGGUGAAAUCUCGGAGCUCAACUCCGAAACUGCCAUUGAUACUGUUAGACUUGAGUUCAGUUGGAGUAGGCGGAAUGUGUAGUGUAGCGGUGAAAUGCUUAGAUAUUACACAGAACACCGAUAGCGAAGGCAGCUUACUAAACUGAUACUGACGCUGAGGCACGAAAGCGUGGGGAGCGAACAGGAUUAGAUA